GCUGGGUAGCUAUGUAUGGACGGGAUAAGUGCUGAAAGCAUCUAAGCAUGAAGCCCCCCUCAAGAUGAGAUUUCCCAACUUCGGUUAUAAGAUCCCUCAAAGAUGAUGAGGUUAAUAGGUUCGAGGUGGAAGCGUGGUGACACGUGGAGCUGACGAAUACUAAUCGAUUGAAGACUUAAUCAA
rnacentral:rRNA from 1 species